rnacentral:lncRNA from 1 species
ACUCGGGUACGACGGGAUUCGGCGUGCUGGCUGCACCGGAGCGGACAGGUAAAAGCGGUUUCUGGAUCCAGGGGCGCUGCGAAGGGAAUGCGAUGAGGCCGCUACCCUGGGAGACCAGACCUACAAUAAAAGGCGAGGGAGGCACGCCAAGCCAGGACUGGAGCGCGGGACGGAAUGAGACCCUUAGCAGAAGAUCCUGGGCCACCGGGACAGGGGCUUGGAGCUGACCGGGUAGCAGGGGCGGAGGGAAGCGUUAGGGGAAGGUUUGUAUCUAUAAACGCCUCAAAGUCUUGCUUUUGGGGAGGGGGUGCGAGGAGAAAAAUUGAAUUUUAUGUUCUCUGAAAGAGUAAAAACCCG